GGCUGGUUAGCUCAGUUGGUUAGAGCAUGGUGCUGAUAAUGCCAAGGUCUGGGGUUCGAUCCCAGUACCAGCCA